AUCGAGCGAAUCCAAAACGAAAAAGUCUCCCAACGUGCAUACCGCCCAUUUACAUGUUGUUGUGAGCCGCACGGAAACUCGUACACGUUUGUGGUGGUGAUAGCCGUCUGCUGUGCGUUCGUUGGGCAGACAAUGGCUUACGAGUGGCUGUGCGCUUGUUGAACAACGGUGACCAAUUUGGCGUCUACGCCGUAUCUAGCCUCCGCCUGGACCGUCGGUAGCGAUGAAAGAUGCGGAGGAAGUUCCUCGUCAGAGUUGAGCAGACUUAAUGAGCCACGCUCUAGGUGGCCGCCAGAACCCAAAACACACCAAUUGUUGUCAUUUGACAUUGUUGAUGAUGAUUAUGUA
rnacentral:rRNA from 1 species